rnacentral:rRNA from 1 species
CCUUACCACCUUUUGACAUGCCCGGACCGCCACAGAGAUGUGGCUUUCUCUUCGGAGACUGGGACACAGGUGCUGCAUGGCUGUCGUCAGCUCGUGUCGUGAGAUGUUGGGUUAAGUCCCGCAACGAGCGCAACCCUCGCCAUUAGUUGCCAUCAUUCAGUUGGGAACUCUAAUGGGACUGCCGGUGCUAAGCCGGAGGAAGGUGGGGAUGACGUCAAGUCCUCAUGGCCCUUACAGGGUGGGCUACACACGUGCUACAAUGGCGACUACAGAGGGUUAAUCCUUAAAAGUCGUCUCAGUUCGGAUUGUCCUCUGCAACUCGAGGGCAUGAAGUUGGAAUCGCUAGUAAUCGCGGAUCAGC